UGAUGACCUCGACUUGUUAAAUGAUUUGUCGCCCUCAUGCGGCAGAUAAUUAACGAUACGUUGAAACCGGCAAAAUUGAAUUGUUGAUUGCCUUAAAUUUGAUGAAAUCGCUGAUAUAAAUGGAUUUGAGCCAACGAAAGGGCACAGAGUUUUCACGGAGUUGAACGACAUGGAAACAAACAAUAAUAAACGCUAGACAACUUCA